rnacentral:tRNA from 1 species
UAGCUUAGCUGGUAGAGCAUCUCCCUCAUAAAGAAAAGAUCGGAGGUUCGAAUCCUAUA